CACGUAGGGCGCAAGCGUUGUCCGGAAUUAUUGGGCGUAAAGAGCUCGUAGGCGGUUUGUCGCGUCUGCUGUGAAAUCCCGAGGCUCAACCUCGGGCCUGCAGUGGGUACGGGCAGACUGGAGUGCGGUAGGGGAGAAUGGAAUUCCUGGUGUAGCGGUGGAAUGCGCAGAUAUCAGGAGGAACACCGAUGGCGAAGGCAGUUCUCUGGGCCGUAACUGACGCUGAGGAGCGAAAGCGUGGGGAGCGAACAGG
rnacentral:rRNA from 1 species